UACGGGGGGGGCAAGCGUUGUUCGGAAUUACUGGGCGUAAAGGGCGCGUAGGCGGCCUUCUAAGUCGGACGUGAAAUCCCUCGGCUUAACCGAGGAACUGCGUCCGAUACUGAAAGGCUUGAAUCCGGGAGAGGGAAGUGGAACUCCGGGAGUAGCGGUGAAAUGCGUAGAGACCCGGAGGAACACCAGUGGCGAAGGCGGCUUCCUGGUCUGCAACUGACGCUGUGGCGCGAAAGCUAGGGGAGCAAACGGG
rnacentral:rRNA from 1 species